rnacentral:rRNA from 1 species
UACGUAGGGCCCCGAGCGUUAUCCGGUAUUAUUGGGUGUAAAGAAUACGUAGGCGGUUUGGUAAGACACUGGUAAAAUCUCCGAGCUCAACUCGGAACCUGCCGGUGUUACUGCCGAACUUGUCGGUAGCAGGGGCAAGUGGAAUUCUCAGUGUAGGAGUGAAAUCCGUUGAGAUUGAGAAGAACACCAAUGGCGAAGGCAACUUGCUAGGCUACUUGAGACGCUGAGGUAUGAAAGCGUGGGGAGCGAACGGGAUUAGAAACCCUUGUAGU